AUUGAACGCUGGCGGCAGGCCUAACACAUGCAAGUCGAACGGUAACAGGAAACAGCUUGCUGUUUCGCUGACGAGUGGCGGACGGGUGAGUAAUGUCUGGGAAACUGCCUGAUGGAGGGGGAUAACUACUGGAAACGGUAGCUAAUACUGCAUAACGUCACAAGACCAAAGAGGGGGACCCUCGGGCCUCUUGCCAUCGGAUGUGCCCAGAUGGGAUUAGCUUGUUGGUGGGGUAACGGCUCACCAAGGCGACGAUCCCUAGCUGGUCUGAGAGGAUGACCAGCCACACUGGAACUGAGACACGGUCCAGACUCCUACGGGAGGCAGCAGUGGGGAAUAUUGCACAAUGGGCGCAAGCCUGAUGCAGCCAUGCCGCGUGUAUGAAGAAGGCCUUCGGGUUGUAAAGUACUUUCAGCGGGGAGGAAGGGAGUAAAGUUAAUACCUUUGCUCAUUGACGUUACCCGCAGAAGAAGCACCGGCUAACUCCGUG
rnacentral:rRNA from 1 species